UCAGUCAGAUGAAUUGGCCCCUCUCUCUAUCUCAAAACCUAGCCUCUCUAAUUCCCCAACAGCGCCGCCACUCUCUCCAGCCGCCGUGCUCCCGUCGCGUGACCCUGCCCACCAGUUGUCCAUGGCGGCCUGCCGCCCUCCCCCCAUCGCGCGCUCAGACCGGCAGCUCCCGACCCACUCGCCGCUCCCCUUCGCGGCCUCCCCCACGCUGCCCCCUGUCGCGUGCCCAGGCCGGCGGCUCCCCGGCAUGCUGCCCCGGCCGGCGAGAUUCAAACGAAGGGUGGCCCAAUGCAAGCAUGGUCGACAUCACCUUCGCUUCUCCAAAUCCGGCGAGGUGAGCCCUGUUCCUCCCCACGCAGGUCCAUUUUUUAGAAAGCAGAUCCAUGGUGUUUUUUAGGAAAGCAGGUUCAUGCUGUUGUGGGCUUGCGGCCACGUCCGAGGUACUUGACUACCUGCGCACAUGGAGGAAGAAGACAUAAUCCGCCGGAUCCAUGACAUGGAGGCACCACAAGUCCACGACCCCCACGAGAUCCAUCUUCAAUGUUCCCCAUUCAACAGCUAAGUAUACUACGAUAUACGUGAGGGAAAAGUUCUUCUGCUUAAUGAUGUUGUAGUCUAGAUUGAAUUGAUUUAAGUAAUUUAUUUACCCUUCUAUGGAAUGCUUGUACACUGAAUUUGGUCUGAAUAAAUCUUUCCAGUAACUGCAAGUUUAGAUGCAAGUCCUCUUGUGUUCAGCUGCAUUUUGCAUUCAGCAAGUACUCUUGCAUGGUUAAUUUUAGUAUGUGAUUUCUGCACAGUUUUGUUUGUUUUAGAAGAAGAAAAUGGCAUGGCAAGAUCAGGCACCAUAGGACAAGACUGAAUAUUCUUAUUUGUGCUGUCCAGACAAUCUUUUAAAUCUAAACACUUUCUAAAGGCAAACUCCUGCAUUGGCAAUUGGAUAUACAAAAACGUUAGCAGAAGACAAGAAGCACAGAAGCUUGCCAACUCCAACUAGAAUCUGUAAGAGCAUCACAUUGCUUUGCCAAUAUAUUGCAGGUGGGAGGUAAAGGCGAGGUAGCAGUUGGAUGGAAGUGAACACAUGGCCUGCAUUAUUUUGGACAUCUUAACUAGAGAUAAAUGCUUUUGUUAAGACUUAAGUGAUAAAUCAUUUUGUAAUGAGUGCAAGAAAACCAUGAGAUGUGAGUUGUGCAACUAUUGCAAGCAUCUAUGAGCUAUGCAUAUCUUGAUGGCCAAACUGUAUUCCAUGUAUCUUAUUUGUGCAAGUUUUGGAAAAUGACACAAGACAAUGUUUAUGGAUAUAAUAUAACUGUGAGCUAUGAUGAGCUUCAUUGA